AUAGACGAUAAUCACUGGAAUGAAGCGGAAGGAAUUUAGAUUAUCGAUGCAUUCGACGAAUACAUAUUUGGCAAAUUAAAUUUCCGACCGUGCAAAGUAAACGAUACAAAUCUGGAAUACAUGUACUAAAAAGUAGAUAUGGACAAGAAAUGAUUUUAAUAAUAAUAUAUCACAGCGUGGCAAGAAGACUUGGUUUUCGUUCCGACAUUAUAGGAUUCGGUGAACGAUCAGAUCUAUCCUACUGUACCUGUAUAUACUAAAAAUCAAGAUAUGGCACGAUUAAUCCAGAAAAUGAAAGAUGUUUUAGUUUAAUGUUUGAGAAAUUUCCGGAUUGUUUUGUCAAUAAACCGGAUUGGUGGAAGUUGCAGCAUUUAUUAUGUGAGGAUUUUUUACAAUGCGAAAUUGGUGGAAGUUGCAGCAUUUAUUAUGUAAAGAUUUUUUACAAUACGAAAGCUUUAAUACAAAAGUACGAUGUGAUAUGCGAAA